GCGAAUAUGAUAUACUAGUAUCAGCAAACAAGUUAAGAUGGUGGCUAGCCGAAUGGAGGUGGUGCUUAUGGUGUAAAAGCUAGAGGCCCAGAUUCUAGGAAAGGAGAUGCCUAGUGUCCGUUUCGGAUGCUGUGCAACUAAUGUUAGGCUUUGGAACUUUUGUUCUAAUGCUUCUCGGAUUAGUU
rfam:Leuconostoc mesenteroides subsp. mesenteroides ATCC 8293, complete genome.